UAUAAUAAGUCCAUCAAUAGAAAUGCGGUGUGGCUACUUGCAGCCAAAACAGCAUUUAUAUUAGAUGGACAAACAGACAUGAGCAUAUAAUAUCGUUCAGCAAAGCUGAACAUAUGGAAUGCGAAUGCCUGUUGCGAUUUCGGGAGUCCGAAGGACGGAGAAAUCGUAAUUAUUAUG
rnacentral:sRNA from 1 species